GACGAACGCUGGCGGCGUGCCUAAUACAUGCAAGUUGAGCGCUGAAGGUUGGUACUUGUACCAACUGGAUGAGCAGCGAACGGGUGAGUAACGCGUGGGGAAUCUGCCUUUGAGCGGGGGACAACAUUUGGAAACGAAUGCUAAUACCGCAUAAAAACUUUAAACACAAGUUUUAAGUUUGAAAGAUGCAAUUGCAUCACUCAAAGAUGAUCCCGCGUUGUAUUAGCUAGUUGGUGAGGUAAAGGCUCACCAAGGCGAUGAUACAUAGCCGACCUGAGAGGGUGAUCGGCCACAUUGGGACUGAGACACGGCCCAAACUCCUACGGGAGGCAGCAGUAGGGAAUCUUCGGCAAUGGACGAAAGUCUGACCGAGCAACGCCGCGUGAGUGAAGAAGGUGUUCGGAUCGUAAAACUCUGUUGGUAGAGAAGAACGUUGGUGAGAGUGGAAAGCUCAUCAAGUGACGGUAACUACCCAGAAAGGGACGGCUAACUACGG
rnacentral:rRNA from 1 species